UACGUAGGGUGCAAGCGUUAAUCGGAAUUACUGGGCGUAAAGCGUGCGCAGGCGGUUUUGUAAGUCUGAUGUGAAAUCCCCGGGCUCAACCUGGGAAUUGCAUUGGAGACUGCAAGGCUAGAAUCUGGCAGAGGGGGGUAGAAUUCCACGUGUAGCAGUGAAAUGCGUAGAGAUGUGGAGGAACACCGAUGGCGAAGGCA
rnacentral:rRNA from 1 species